UACGUAGGGUGCGAGCGUUAAUCGGAAUUACUGGGCGUAAAGCGUGCGCAGGCGGUGAUGUAAGACCGAUGUGAAAUCCCCGGGCUUAACCUGGGAACUGCAUUGGUGACUGCAUCGCUCGAGUAUGGCAGAGGGGGGUAGAAUUCCACGUGUAGCAGUGAAAUGCGUAGAGAUGUGGAGGAAUACCGAUGGCGAAGGCAGCGCCCUGGGUCAAUACUGACGCUCAUGCACGAAAGCGUGGGGAGCAAACAGG
rnacentral:rRNA from 1 species